GGCAGACAGGGUGCGUUCGAUCUUCUCCCUGGGGAGGCUAGCCUGCAUAUGUACAGAGUCCAGCACCACCCCCAAGAAGUUGAUGACUAUGGAAAGAAAAUCAUCCAGGUAAUGAAUAAUGGUAGGGCAUCUACAGGUGUUAAGCAGUAUCCAACACAACAUCUCGGCAAACAUAUCAAAAGUUCUUGGGCUGCUCUUAGAACCGAAUGUGAGACGUGUGAAAAAAUAGUAUGCCCCUUGCCAUUUAACACCAUGUAAAUGCCACAGGGAUGGAUGAAUAGGAA